AGAACUCCUGCUUUGAAACAUUUUCUCUCCUUGAAACACACAGGGUUCCUGAAAUUGUGCCAGCUGACUCCAGGUCCACCCUGACCCCACAGCAUAAACCAUGCUGUGAUGUCACAGCUACCAUAGAACUCCAGGGUAGUGUUGAGCUGGCCCAUGUGAGCUCAGUGUCAGGAUGCACGCAGGACCAGAACAGGGGCUUGAUGUCUUCUGUGAAGUCUGGUUUCUCAUACUCAGUUACUGAUCUUUGAUCCAAUUAAUAUGGUCUAAUAGUUCCUCUAAAUCCCCCCACCAGAGCAUGGAGCCAGCGCUGAUGGUAAGGUAGGUGCCUAACUAGGCAGUUCUACUUCUGGAAAGAAAUUUAAAAAAAGGGAGAGGAGUAAACUAAUUUUCCUUAUAUUCUUUAGGACAUUUAAAUGAUGCCUCAGGAUCCAGAAAGCAGAGAGAAAUACUUAAAAGAGUUUGGAGUGAAUGCUACAGGUUUGUGCUUUUUGGAAAAAAAAAAAAAAGAAUUAAAUGCUUUUCUAUCUUGGUGCUU